AUGUGUUUUCUUAUUUCUUUUUUUAUUUGUUUCAACAACAGCUGUAAUUCCCAGUGUCGUUUUUAUAUUUUCAGAGAUUGUUCAGAAAAAAUAUAUUUUGGAGUGGAGGGAAAUAAAUUUUUUCAGGAGUUUUUUUUAGCAAAUUUUGAGGAGGUUGAAAAUAAAUGUAUACUCCAUAAACUAAAAGGAGAGCAGGCCGGGCCCGGCAAACUUGCGAGCGACGCAGAUUACUUUCAUCUUUGCUCCCGGGCUGUCCUCCAAUGGGCCACAUGGGCUCUCCUCGUUUUAUUCCCUCUUUGUAUUCCCGUGCGAACGCUUGAUUCUUAA
rnacentral:rRNA from 1 species